rnacentral:rRNA from 1 species
CGAACGCUGGCGGCGUGCUUAACACAUGCAAGUCGAACGCGAAAGGGACUUCGGCCCUGAGUAAAGUGGCGCACGGGUGAGUAACGCGUAGAUAACCUGUCUUCAUGUCUGGAAUAAUACGCCGAAAGGGGUACUAAUACCGGAUAUUCUUGCUUUUCAUAAGUUAUGCAAGCAAAGGUGGCCUCUGCAUAUGCUACUGCAUGAAGAGGGGUCUGCGUACCAUUAGCUAGUAGGUGGGGUAAUGGCCUACCUAGGCGACGAUGGUUAGCGGGUCUGAGAGGAUGAUCCGCCACACUGGCACUGGAACACGGGCCAGACUCCUACGGGAGGCAGCAGUGAGGAAUAUUGCGCAAUAGGGGAAACCCUGACGCAGCGACGCUGCGUGAGUGAGGAAGGCCUUCGGGUCGUAAAGCUCUGUCAAGAGGAAAGAAGUGUACAAUGGCUAAUACCUGUUGUAUUUGACGGUACCUCUAAAGGAAGCACCGGCUAACUCCGUGCCAGCCGCGGC